rnacentral:rRNA from 1 species
AUUGAACGCUGGCGGCAUGCCUAACACAUGCAAGUCGAACGAGUGGCGGACGGGUGAGUAAUGUCUGGGAAACUGCCUGAUGGAGGGGGAUAACUACUGGAAACGGUAGCUAAUACCGCAUACCAUCAGAUGUGCCCAGAUGGGAUUAGCUUGUUGGUGGGGUAACGGCGCACCAAGGCGACCAUCCCUAGCUGGUCUGAGAGGAUGAUCAGCGACACUGGAGCUGGGACACGGUCUAGAAUCCUACGGGAGGAAGCAGUAGGGAAUAUUGCAGAAUGGGCUGAAGGCUGAUGCGGCCAUGCCGCGUGUAUGAAGAGGGCAUUCGGGUUGUAAAGUACUUUCAGCGGGGAGGCGUUACCCGCAGAAGAAGCACCGGCUAACUCCGUGCCAGCAGCCGCGGUAAUAC